rnacentral:tRNA from 1 species
CCGAUAUAGCUCAGCUGGCAGAGCAACUCAUUCGUAAUGAGUAGGUCGUGAGUUCAAAUCUCACUAUCGG